AGUGAACGCUGGCGGUAGGCCUAACACAUGCAAGUCGAACGGCAGCACAGUAAGAGCUUGCUCUUACGGGUGGCGAGUGGCGGACGGGUGAGGAAUACAUCGGAAUCUACUUUUUCGUGGGGGAUAACGUAGGGAAACUUACGCUAAUACCGCAUACGACCUACGGGUGAAAGCAGUGGAUCUUCGGACCUUGCGCGAUUGAAUGAGCCGAUGUCGGUUUAGCUAGUUGGCGGGGUAAAGGCCCACCAAGGCGACGAUCCGUAGCUGGUCUGAGAGGAUGAUCAGCCACACUGGAACUGAGACACGGUCCAGACUCCUACGGGAGGCAGCAGUGGCGAAUAUUGGACAAUGGGCGCAAGCCUGAUCCAGCCAUACCGCGUGGGUGAAGAAGGCCUUCGGGUUGUAAAGCCCUUUUGUUGGGAAAGAAAAGCAGCAGGUUAAUACCACGCUGUUCUGACGGUACCCAAAGAAUAAGCACCGGCUAACUUCGUG
rnacentral:rRNA from 1 species